rnacentral:lncRNA from 1 species
UCCAUAUCCCUCACCCCCCCAAAAACCCAAAUGUCCCCAAACUUCCCCCUUCCCCUUCUGACCCCAAAUCCCCAUUUUUGGUGUUUCAGGCCUCAAAAAUCGCAACUUUUGGGGUUUCGGCCCCAAAAUCAACAUUUAUGGUCUUUCAGCCCCAAAAUCAAAAGUACAUUCCGGUGUUUCUGGCCUCAAAAUCCCCAUUUUUGAUGUUUCAGCCCCAAAAUCACCAUUUAUGUUUGUUUCUGGUCCCAAAAUCCCCAUUUUUGAUGUUUCAGCCCCAAAAUCACCAUUUAUGUUUGUUUCUGGUCCCCCAAAGCCCCAUUUUUGGUCGUUCAGCCCCCAAAUCACCAUUUUUGAUGUUUCAGCCCCAAAAUCAACACUGGAUUCUGGUGUUUCAGCCCCAAAAUCGACAUUUUUGGUUUCCAGCCCCCAAAAUCCCCAUUUUUGAUGUUUCAGCCCCAAAGCCAACACUGGGUUCUGGUGUUUCUGGCCCCCAAAUUAACAAUUCUUGGUCUUUCAGCCCCAAAAUCCCCAUUUUUGGUCGUUCAGCCCCAAAACCAACACUGGAUUCUGGUGUUUCUGGCCUCAAAAUUAACAAUUCUUGGUCUUUCAGCCCCCAAAAUCCCCAUUUUUGGUCGUUCAGCCCCAAAAUCAACACUAGAUUCUGGUGUUUCAGCCCCAAAAUCGACAUUUUUGGUUUCCAGCCCCCCAAAUCCCCAUUUUUGAUGUUUCAGCCCCAAAACCAACACUGGAUUCUGGUGCUUCUGACCCCCAAAUCCCCAUUUUUGGUGUUUCAGCCCCAAAAUCACAAUUUUUGGUGUUUCAGCCCCAAAAUCAACACUGUAUUCUGGAGGUUCUGGCCCCAAAAUUAACAAUUCUUGGUCUUUCAGCCCCAAAAUCACCAUUUUUGAUGUUUCUGGCCUCAAAAUCCCCAUUUUUGAUGUUUCAGCCCCAAAAUCCCUAUAUUUGAUGUUUCUGGCCUCAAAUCCCCAUUUUCGGUGU